CACUUAAAGUGCGUCGUAGUCCGGAUUGGAGUCUGCAACUCGACUCCAUGAAGUCGGAAUCGCUAGUAAUCGCAUAUCAGAAUGAUGCGGUGAAUACGUUCCCGGGCCUUGUACACACCGCCCGUCACACCAUGGGAGUGGGUUGCUCCAGAAGUAGAUAGUCUAACCCUCGGGAGGACGUUUACCACGGAGUGAUUCAUGACUGGGGUGAAGUCGUAACAAGGUAGCCCUAGGGGAACCUGGGGCUGGAUCACCUCCUUAUACGA
rnacentral:rRNA from 1 species